GGCGAACGCUGGCGGCGUGCUUAACACAUGCAAGUCGAACGGAAAGGCCCAGCUUGCUGGGUGCUCGAGUGGCGAACGGGUGAGUAACACGUGGGUGAUCUGCCCCUAACUUCGGGAUAAGCUUGGGAAACUGGGUCUAAUACCGGAUAGGACAAUCGUUUAGUGUCGGUUGUGGAAAGUUUUUUCGGUUAGGGAUGAGCCCGCGGCCUAUCAGCUUGUUGGUGGGGUAAUGGCCUACCAAGGCGUCGACGGGUAGCCGGCCUGAGAGGGUGGACGGCCACAUUGGGACUGAGAUACGGCCCAGACUCCUACGGGAGGCAGCAGUGGGGAAUAUUGCACAAUGGGCGCAAGCCUGAUGCAGCGACGCCGCGUGGGGGAUGACGGCCUUCGGGUUGUAAACCUCUUUCGACAGGGACGAAGCUUUGGUGACGGUACCUGUAUAAGAAGCACCGGCUAACUACGUG
rnacentral:rRNA from 1 species